rnacentral:snoRNA from 1 species
ACCCUCCAGUUUCCUUUCCCAUCACUUCUAAGCACUGAUCUUAGUGGUUAUAAAAAAGGAAAUUAAAAUUGAAACUGACUUUAAUAUUUGGGGGACAUAACUUCAAACAAAC